UUGCUGGUUGACGGUCGAAAGUGGUUUAUUUUGGGCAUUUGCUGGACCUAUCAUUCUUGUCGUCAUUGGAAAUAUUGUCAAUCUUGGAAUUAUCCUGAAGUUUGGGGUCUGUGGCAUUUCCGCUAUGGCAAAGAAAUCAGAUCUGGAAAAAAUCAAGACGGGCGCAAGGAGUGUCGGCGUGCUGACCCCGAUGUUUGGCAUCACGUGGCUUAUCGGCGCAUUUGCCAUCAAUGACGCGAAGUUGGUCUUUCAGUGGCUAUUCGUCAU